CCUAACACAUGCAAGUCGAACGGGUAACAGGAAGCAGCUUGCUGCUUUGCUGACGAGUGGCGGACGGGUGAGUAAUGUCUGGGAAACUGCCUGAUGGAGGGGGAUAACUACUGGAAACGGUAGCUAAUACCGCAUAACGUCGCAAGACCAAAGAGGGGGACCUUCGGGCCUCUUGCCAUCGGAUGUGCCCAGAUGGGAUUAGCUUGUUGGUGGGGUAACGGCUCACCAAGGCGACGAUCCCUAGCUGGUCUGAGAGGAUGACCAGCCACACUGGAACUGAGACACGGUCCAGACUCCUACGGGAGGCAGCAGUGGGGAAUAUUGCACAAUGGGCGCAAGCCUGAUGCAGCCAUGCCGCGUGUAUGAAGAAGGCCUUCGGGUUGUAAAGUACUUUCAGCGGGGAGGAAGGGAGUAAAGUUAAUACCUUUACUCAUUGACGUUACCCGCAGAAGAAGCACCGGCUAACUCCGUGCCAGCAGCCGCGGUAAUACGGAGGGUGCAAGCGUUAAUCGGAAUUACUGGGCGUAAAGCGCACGCAGGCGGGUUGUUAAGUCAGAUGUGAAAUCCCCGGGCUCAACCUGGGAACUGCAUCUGAUACUGGCAAGCUUGAGUCUCG
rnacentral:rRNA from 1 species